rnacentral:rRNA from 1 species
GGCUCUUUGCCCACAUAAAUAUAAAGAGUCGAGCCUGCCCAGUGAAUUUUUUUAACGGCCGCGGUACUCUGACCGUGCAAAGGUAGCAUAAUCAUUUGCCUUAUAAUUGAAGGCUAGUAUGAAUGGUUUGACGAGAGCAAUACUGUCUCCUUUUUAUUUUCAAAAACUUAACUUUUAGGUGAAGAGGCCUAAAUUUUAUUGAAGGACAAGAAGACCCUGUCGAGCUUAAAAGACAUUAUAGGAGUCUAAUAUAUUUUUAAAUAAAUUUUCUAUUAGGCUUUUUAGUUGGGGCGACUAGGGAACAAAAAAAGCUUCUUUCUAAUAAAUAAACAAUCAUGUUUAGAUCCGAUAAUAACGAUCAAAGAAAUUAGUUACCGCAGGGAUAACAGCAUAAUCUCUCUUAAGAGACCUAAUCGAAAGAGGGGGUUGUGACCUCGAUGUUGGACUAGAAUAUCCUAAAGAUGCAGAAGUCUUUAAGGGUCGGUCUGUUCGACCGUUAAAAUUCU